UACGUAGGGGGCUAGCGUUGCUCGGAAUCACUGGGCGUAAAGGGUGCGUAGGCGGGUCUUUAAGUCAGGGGUGAAAUCCUGGAGCUCAACUCCAGAACUGCCUUUGAUACUGAGGAUCUUGAGUUCGGGAGAGGUGAGUGGAACUGCGAGUGUAGAGGUGAAAUUCGUAGAUAUUGGGAAGAACACCGGUGGCGAAGGCGGCUCACUGGCUCGUAACUGACGCUCAUGCACGACAGCGUGGGGAUCAAACAGG
rnacentral:rRNA from 1 species